rnacentral:rRNA from 1 species
ACUCCUACGGGAGGCAGCAGUGGGGAAUAUUGCACAAUGGGCGCAAGCCUGAUGCAGCCAUGCCGCGUGUGUGAAGAAGGCCUUCGGGUUGUAAAGCACUUUCAGUUGUGAGGAAGGUGGUGUCGUUAAUAGCGGCAUCAUUUGACGUUAGCAACAGAAGAAGCACCGGCUAACUCCGUGCCAGCAGCCGCGGUAAUACGGAGGGGUGCGAGCGUUAAUCGGAAUUACUGGGCGUAAAGCGCAUGCAGGUGGUUUGUUAAGUCAGAUGUGAAAGCCCGGGGCUCAACCUCGGAACUGCAUUUGAAACUGGCAGACUAGAGUACUGUAGAGGGGGUAGAAUUUCAGGUGUAGCGGUGAAAUGCGUAGAGAUCUGAAGGAAUACCGGUGGCGAAGGCGGCCCCCUGGACAGAUACUGACACUCAGAUGCGAAAGCGUGGGGAGCAAACAGGAUUAGAUACCCUGGUAGGACAGUG